rnacentral:tRNA from 1 species
UCUGUUUUAGUAUAUCUAUUAUACCAACUUUUCGUGUUGAAGAUAGUCUUUGGACUAAACAGGG